rnacentral:rRNA from 1 species
AUGGUGAGUAGGUGUGGGUUUGGCCUUUCCUCCGACCACCCACUGCAGCGGUGGUGGUUAUUUUCGAUAAGCAUCGUGAUGCACAGCCUGCCGCCUCCAAGGUACGCAAGCUCGGUUCUGUUGUAUAACUUGAGAUAUCCACGGGGCCACGCCCGCGGCCGGGUAGAUGGGCAUAUCUCGUCCAGGCUCCAGCACUUGAUGAUCGCCGGCGGCCUGGCAUCCAUGUCGCAGGCGGCCAGUCGGUCAUAUUCAUCCUCGCAGCCGCGCAACUUGCCGAAGAGCAGCUUCCUGCCGCCUAGAAUGCCAUCAGAGACCAGGAUCAAGCGGCCCGCGAGGGGCAGCUCCGAGGCGCCUUCCAUGCGCCACCGGCGGCGCGCCGCGUCAAAGGAGAAAGUUCCUUGGUCCUUGAAGGAGACCCAGACGUGCGCCCCCGCCGCGUCGGCGAAGAAGCCAGUGAUGUCUGGUUUGCCAGAGAGGCCCGGCGGGUCCGGGAUGAGAUGCCAGGCCCAGGGGCCGUUGGGGAGGCGGAGCAGGAGCUCGAAGCAGGGAUCUUGUUCUCCUGUCCGGUCCGGGUCCGAAUCAAUCUCCGCCUGCGGGCAGAGGGGCAUGGAUAAGAACAUGUCGUCUCCGGCGGGAGCAAGUGCCUGGAACAGCUUAGUGAACAGCUGGUCGGGGCCGGCUGAGGCGUCCGUGUUGCCGCGGUUGCAGAUCAGAGUACGUCCCUGGGUGGUGGCCGUUACAACGAGGUUGCCGGAGGAUGCGAUGGCCAUAACCUCGCCGCGGCAGAGAAGCCUGAAGCGAACGACAGGCUUGGGGAAGCUCAGCACCGGCGGGAACUCGUCGUCAUCACUGGGUUGGCCGGAGAAGAUAUGCUGGAGAUCUAGCUCGUACAAGAGGGUAGCCAGCUCUUUGGGGCCGUGGACCAUCACCAAGGCUACAGAGCUGUCUUGGCGGGGCUGCUGCGCGGCGGCCAUUGAUCAACCUGAUCGAUUGGCAAGGUACGCGCACGUAGGAAGCUGGAUCAAACCAGGCUGCUUAUAUUACCUAGUAGCUAUAAACUAG